ACCUGCUGUUUCAUUUCCUGAGGAUAAAAUUACAGCACACAAUGUGCUUUUUCAAACUCCUGAAGUUCCUCAGAGCCCCAAGCCCCACACCCUCCCAGGGAAAAUGGGCCUCUGUGCUCUUCUUAGACUCCAGCCUGGUGGGGCAGCAGGGGCCCAAGGCUGGAGCAGUGGGAGGACAGCAGCGGUGGGAGGGAGUGUCAAAGUGGGCAGCCAGGUCACGGAAAAGUGCAGGGUGCAGUACUGAUUUUGCACCGCUUUUUUAAUAUCUAACACAAGGCAGGCAGCAUGGAAAAAUUAGGAACCCCAGGAGAAAAUCCCUGCUUUCUUCUCAUUUCCUUGCAAGGGGCUUGGCUGACCUUCCCCAUCUAGAGCGGAGAGCCCCCACCCGCCUGCCCAUUGCCCUGCUCUCUUUCAGCUGCUAGUGUGAAAUUUUUUGUGUUUAUCACCUCUCUCCCACUAGAAUGUAAGUGCAAUCAGGGCAGGGACCUUCCACAGUUAGAGCUGACCCUUCUCUAGGGACAUGUGAUCUGUGAAAUGGGUGAGGGUCGGUAGAGGUUCUGGAUGACACUUUUAUAAAAUGUAUUUACAGAUUUAAAAACUUCAGAAACAUAGUUUCUCCCUGCUGGGCUGCAGUCAGCCUGCCAUGGCAAACAGGAGCCAGGGAGAUCCAGGAAUGGGACAUGCCUCUGCUGGGUCAGGGCGGGUGUGCAGAGGCAGACCCUGGCCCUUCAGCUCUGACUUAAGAGCAGGGGUCAUCCUCCCCUGCCCAAGGGUGAGCAGGCGGCGGAGGAGCGAGGCCCGGAUGAGCAGAUCCAGGCCCCAGCCUGUCCUGCUGUGAGGCCCAGCCUGCAGUUUUCCCCUCUAGACCCCUGGAAUUGGAGUUUCCCAGGGAGACAGUGAAAAACACAGAUUCCAAGGUGCCUCCCUGACUGGAGGAAUCACACUCAGGGAGCUGAUGGGGGCAAAACCUGCAUUUAAAUGGGCCUCUGCAGGGCGUCUUCAGGUGGCACUGGGUCUCGGGCUGCAAGUCUCCAAGGGCAGGUGCCGGAAGCUUCCACUCAGUUUUGCUUUUCAGCGUCAAUUUGGCCCCUCCUGGCCGUGUGACCCCGUGAGCCUUUGCCUCGGGUUCGUCAUCUGUAAAAUGCGUUCAGGAGGAUUCUGGGGUAAGAGCAGAUGAAGGAGCUCGCGCAAAGCGGGAAGCUUUGUAGCAAACGGAAGACGAGAGUUUUUAAUUAAUGUGCUGCAGUACUGGAGGGUUUCCUACGGGCAUCUUCAGCUGUCCAGUUGGGGAGGGACAUCUGGUCCCAGAAGGUACCCUGGUGGCUGCUGAUGGUUCUGCAGCGAACAGGCGGGGUGGCUCUGGUGAGGGGUCAAGGCCUGGGCUGCAGGUUUGCGGCCUGGUGCUGGCGAGAGCUGGGUCUGGCUCUGCCCGACCGGUCUUUCUCCCAGUGAAUAAAUGGCUGCGACUGGAUGGCUCUGGCCUCUCGUCUAGGCCACUCCUGGAGUGACUCAGCCUUCUCACUGAGCAAAUCUGCUCUGAGCCUCAGAGGGUGGAGGGCCUGGAGCCCCUCGGGGACAGCCAGCCACUGUCCUGGUGGCCCCUCAGCCCCCUAGACUUCUCUGUCAGGUAGACUGAGCGAGUUACUUCUCUCACUGGAGUUCAGUCAACGCCAAAGUUGCCACCACGCUGUGUGGGUCUCUUUAUCCAUGUUGCCAGUGUCCCCAGGGUUCCCUCUCCAAGGCAGCUGAGGGCCCCUGAGGGCCUGCUGCCAUUCCGGACCGGCUGGGCCUUGCAGUGAGCCAGCAGACCCGAGAGAACGAGGUUCCAGCCAGGUUAUGAGAUGGCCAGAAACUCAAGAUGCGGAGUGAUAAAAAUAGAUGCGUGGCAAAUGGUUCUAGUGUAAAAAUAGAGCUACAGGGGGCUUGCCUGGGGGCGCCUGGGACCUGGGAUGCCAAAUGGGUGGUCCACAGGCUGGACUGGGCCUACUAGUCAGGACAGAGCAGCUGGGCUAGGGGCUCGGCUGGUGUGGCGGACAGGGUGUGUGCAUGCUGCUCAUCCACAGGCCUCAUGGAGCUCGACUCUGGGCCAGCCCUGGGGCCUGGUGUGAGCUGCCCCGCUGUGCCCUCUCUAGGGACUGCUGCUGUCAGGGUGGGGUGGGCGAGCAGACCAUCCCAGGCUGAUGGUCAGUGUGAGCAGGCACCUGAGGGCAGUGGCCAGAGGAGGGCAGUGUGCACCCACCUGGCCCUGGGUGGGGUGGCAGGGUGAGUCGGCGCAGGCACCAUGGGAAGGCAGGAGUGGGCAGUGGCUGAGCCCAGAGGCAUCGGGAAGUUCACAGAUGUAGCAGGCAGGCCCCUUGGGGUGUGUGGGCAAGGGGGAAGCUGAGGGCAGCUCCGGAGACCGGAGAAGAGAGGGACCGAGUGAAGGCCUUCGGGGUCCUGGAGCCUCUCUGGCGGGCGCGGCUCUGCCAGCUCCCUCCUUCCUCCCACGGCCUCUCCUCCUGUCAUCCUGUCCAGCCUCCGGCCGUCCCCCUGCCAGGCACAAGUCAGCAUCUUCUGAGCUUGCUGGGGCUGGAGGAGCCCCUCCUACUCACCCACGUGGCCGUUGGCUGUGGCCGCGCAGUGCCAUGUGGACGUCUCUAUACUAUGUGACGGUCUUUUUCUCUCCAAGAAUAAAUGGCUGCAUCUGGA